GUUGAGGGGCGAACAGAGGCAGAGUAGUGUGUGUGUGGCCUUGAGGUGGCCGGUGAUUAGCCAAUAGUGGUGGAAUGGUAUGAGUGUGUGGCCUAGGGGUGGCCGAUGGGUUGCCAACAGUGGCAGAAUUGUGUGUGUAUGUAUGGUUAAUUAGUAGUCAUCGGGUAUAUGGUUUGGUGUGUGUGUGGCUACUCGGUGGUCUCUAUCUAUUUGUUUAGAUGUUG
rnacentral:lncRNA from 1 species